UGCAGCCCGACAACCAGGAGUUAGCUGGCGUGGUUCCCUCGACGGAGGGAUGCUUCUUCCGUCCGCUGCCUGCUCCGUGCCUACACCAUGUACAUCCUUUCCUCCCUGUGCUUCUGCUCGCCUGGGAUGCAGCUCUUCAGUGAGCAAGACAAGAUGUGCAGGGAGAAAAGGACCAUUGGACUGUACAGGAAUAAUGGAUGACGUCCUUUGCUGCUCGACCUAGCCUUGCUGCUUGAGCACGUUGCCCCUGAGGUACUGUCUAGCCUCGACCAAGGAAUUGAUGCCGUGGAUCUUCUGAUCAGUCUAUUCCUGUCUCUCCAUCGCCGGUCGCCGAUCCAAUGCCGUGUGCCUCCCCCUCUACCCCUUUCCCGGUGGCGGGAUAAUAUCAGUAUCUGGUUCCCUUUGACAGUUUUGGUGAAUGGGGCGGCGUUGUGGUGGAAGGACCUAUACAUCGUUCGAGGCCCAUGCGAAAGAAAUUAUGUGCAGGCUGCUGGUAACCGCUGACGCCGAGGCCAUCCACCGCGUGGAGAACUUCUUGGGCACUUCCGACGCAUCGUGGGUUGAGCUUCUGCAGCCCGCUGCGUGCUGGACACUUCUUCCCUUUAUCCCUGGUGUACAAGACAUGUUCUUUCUAAAAGCAAUGCACAUCGACUUGACAUCAUCUCCCGUUUUAUCCAGUUUGAGGUUAGUAGUACGGGAGUUCCUACCAAGACUGACUUAUGGAAGUUAUGCUAGCUCCAGUCGUGGAGCAGCAACUGCACCAGUGACCCUGCCAUGGUGGCGAUAUGGACGGCAUCACCAUAACCACAUUAAUGGUCCAAGCCCGAGAUAGAUUUGGAAGCAGGCAGGCCAUGGUGGCAGGGCAUUGAUUUCUUGGAUCAGUUUGCAUCAGGAUCGUGUGAAGUGGCGCCUAUGAAGUUUAUCAACAAGGCAGUUGAAUGAAGACACCUAUCAGUAUGCUUAGUAGCUAUGGCUUGGUAGUUAGUUGUCUCUCCUUUAUUAUGUUCCUUCUCUUAUUACCCCCUCUCCUAUUAUAACAUUUUUGGUAUCGAACUUCAUGUCGACUGGUUACGUUUUUGGUUUCGGACUUCGUCCAACGGCUAUCUUUUGUGUUCUUAUGAACGCACUGAAAUUGAUUCUGCCUUCUAGUCU